rnacentral:rRNA from 1 species
GAUGAACGCUGGCGGCGUGCCUAAUACAUGCAAGUCGAGCGAACAGACGAGGAGCUUGCUCCUCUGACGUUAGCGGCGGACGGGUGAGUAACACGUGGAUAACCUACCUAUAAGACUGGGAUAACUUCGGGAAACCGGAGCUAAUACCGGAUAAUAUAUUGAACCGCAUGGUUCAAUAGUGAAAGACGGUUUUGCUGUCACUUAUAGAUGGAUCCGCGCCGCAUUAGCUAGUUGGUAAGGUAACGGCUUACCAAGGCAACGAUGCGUAGCCGACCUGAGAGAGGGAUCGCCCACACGGGAACGGGAACACGGUCCAGACUCCUACGGGAGGCAGCAGUAGGGAACCUUCGGCAAUGGGCGAAAGCCUGACGGAGCAACGCGGCGUGAGGGAUGAAGGUCUUCGGUUCGUAAAACUCGGUUAUUGGGGAAGAACAACUGUGUAAGUAACUAUGCACGGCUUGACGGUACCUAAUCAGAAAGCCACGGCUAACUACGUG